rnacentral:lncRNA from 1 species
AUCAAUAACAGAGCCGAAGCUCUGAUACCAAUUAAAGAUAGAGAAAACCAAGAAAGGGGGUUUGAAUUGUUUUCACUGACAAUAAAAACUUUUGGCAACGCUACACACCCAACACAAAAGUUUAUCCUGGUUUGCUUGAAAAUCAAAGCUACUCCAGUCCACCCAACCAAGGUGAUUUCGCCUUCAAUAAGGACUUAAUCCAAUAAUCUAGAAAGAUUACAACAAAC